rnacentral:rRNA from 1 species
UGUUCCUACGGGGGGCAGCAGUGGGGGAUAUUGCACAAUGGGGGAAACCCUGAUGCAGCGAUGCCGCGUGAGUGAAGACGGCCUUCGGGUUGUAAAGCUCUGUCGCAGAGGACGAAAAUGACGGUACUCUGUAAGAAAGCUCCGGCUAACUACGUGCCAGCAGCCGCGGUAAUACGUAGGGAGCAAGCGUUGUCCGGAAUUACUGGGUGUAAAGGGAGCGUAGGCGGGAGGAUAAGUUGAAUGUGAAAUCUAUGGGCUCAACCCAUAGCUGCGUUCAAAACUGUUCUUCUUGAGUGAAG